GAUGAACGCUGGCGGCGUGCCUAAUACAUGCAAGUCGAGCGAACAGACGAGGAGCUUGCUCCUCUGACGUUAGCGGCGGACGGGUGAGUAACACGUGGAUAACCUACCUAUAAGACUGGGAUAACUUCGGGAAACCGGAGCUAAUACCGGAUAAUAUAUUGAACCGCAUGGUUCAAUGGUGAAAGACGGUUUUGCUGUCACUUAUAGAUGGAUCCGCACCGCAUUAGCUGGUUGGUAAGGUAACGGCUUACCAAGGCAACGAUGCGUAGCCGAGCGGAGAGGGUGAUCGGCCACCCUGGAACUGAGACACGGUCCAGGCUCCUACGGGAGGCAGCAGUAGGGAAUCUUCCGCAAUGGGCGAAAGCUUGACGGAGCAACGCCGCGUGAGUGAUGAAGGUCUUCGGAUCGUAAAACUCUGUUAUUAGGGAAGAACAAAUGUGUAAGUAACUAUGCACGUCUUGACGGUACCUAAUCAGAAAGCCACGGCUAACUACGUG
rnacentral:rRNA from 1 species